GUCAGCCGCCGCGGGAACACCGGCGGCCCGAGUGGUGAUCGUGAUUAUUGGGUCUAAAGGGUCCGUAGCCGGUUUGGUCAGUCCUCCGGGAAAUCUGAUAGCUCAACUAUUAGGCUUUCGGGGGAUACUGCCAGACUUGGAACCGGGAGAGGUAAGAGGUACUACAGGGGUAGGAGUGAAAUCUUGUAAUCCCUGUGGGACCACCUGUGGCGAAGGCGUCUUACCAGAACGGGUUCGACGGUGAGGGACGAAAGCUGGGGGCACGAACCGGAUUAGAUACCCGGGUAGUCCCAGCCGUAACGAUGCUCGCUAGGUGUCAGGCAUGGCGCGACCGUGUCUGGUGCCGCAGGGAAGCCGUGAAGCGAGCCACCUGGGAAGUACGGCCGCAAGGCUGAAACUUAAAGGAAUUGGCGGGGGAGCACAACAACGGGUGGAGCCUGCGGUUUAAUUGGACUCAACGCCGGACAACUCACCGGGGGCGACAGCAAUAUGUAGGCCAAGCUGAAGACUUUGCCUGAAUCGCUGAGAAGUGGUGCAUGG
rnacentral:rRNA from 1 species